CCCUUAGAUGCUCUGGGCCGCACGCGCGCUACACUGGUCGAUGCAACGAGUUUCUUUCCUUGGCCGACAGGCCCGGGCAAUCUUUGAACGCCGGUCGUGAUGGGGAUAGACCUUUGCAAUUUUUGGUCUUCAACGAGGAAUUCCUAGUAAACGCAAGUCAUCAACUUGCAUUGAUUACGUCCCUGCCCUUUGUACACACCGCCCGUCGCACCUACCGAUUGAAUGGUCCGGUGAAACCUCCGGAUUGGCGCGUGCCCUCGGGCGCCGCCGAGAAGUUGGUUAAACCUUACCAUUUAGAGGAAGGUGAAGUCGUAACA
rnacentral:rRNA from 1 species